rnacentral:lncRNA from 1 species
GAACUAGUAUUUGAUUACAAUGUUGAAAAUUCCCUAACCAUUCUGACCCACACAUCUUUAAUCAUUUAGUGAAACACAAAGCUCCGACAACAGCUCUCCAUCCUACGUUCUUCACACCAUUUCUUCUAGUGUCAUAUCUAUUUUGAAAUCACCAUCUAUGACCAUCAAGAUGAGUCACAGUUUAUCACAAACAGGGGAGCCAACUGUGGUUGUUCCUCAAGAGCAUGUCAAGGGUGAGAUUUGAAUUAGGAAAUGCAAAUAGAGACAACAGUGGCAUUUGGGAAAGCUGAUUUUUAUCAACUUACCAUCAUAAAGAGACUACAUGCAAAAGAAACAUAUAGCCUUGUAAUAGUGAGUUAGAUGAGUUUUCCAACCAAUCUUUGAUAUCUCCCAUGAUCAGAAUAAGGUUCCCUUCUCUCGACUUGUUAGCAAUUUUUGGUUUAGAUCCAUGGGGCUAUCAAUUGAUCUACAGCCACAUACCCGUUUCUUUAACUAUGUGUAAUGCAUACAUCCCUUUUGAAAUGAUAAUCCUAUUCUUUAAAUGACCAACUUCACUUCCAAGAAGAUAUUUGUAACUCCUCAAAUCCUUUGUUUGGAAAAAGCUAAACGAAGUGCAAACUGCUGCCAUGUCAGAGACAACCGAGACUUAUUGUGACAAUAGUGCGCAAUAGGAAAAGUUGGAGUGAGAUCAAACCAACAAUUUAGGAGAUUUUGAUUGAGGAAAAUGAGAAAUGCUCGAGCUGUUUACAUUCAUCAUUUUCUCUAUAUAUAUACUCUUUAUGAUAAAUAAAAUUUGAAUUUACAAGAAAAUUAAUGAUAUUACUACUGCGUCAGUGCAUGAAUGUUAUAAUACCUAGGUACAUGGCUAACUACAUACGUAACACAGGUUACUGGCUCUACCUUCAACGAGUCACAACUCACAAUACAGGUUAUGCAAUGUAACAAAUGCUAGUAAUCAAAUGUGAGAUUAUUCCCAUAGCUUACCUUACUGAUUCUUUAUUUCUUUUGCAGGAAAUCAUGUCCAUUGCAUUGCAUCCACCUGUUGUGAAACUAGUUUUGGUUGUGUUAGACUGAUAUGUCGAGGUGAAAGCGUGGACAGACUUUGAUCCGGGUGUAUUUUAAUGUGUUGAUGUAGCAGUGGUUCAUCACGUUUCUCAUUUAAUUUUCUUUUGUAAGUUUAUUUCCAAGAGGGAAGCAUUAUCAGUUAGCAAGUAUACUUUUUUAAUUUUUUGUACCAAAUUACGAAAUAAAUUUAUUUGCCAAAG